rnacentral:rRNA from 1 species
UACGAAGGGGGCUAGCGUUGUUCGGAAUUACUGGGCGUAAAGCGCACGUAGGCGGAUUGUUAAGUCAGGGGUGAAAUCCCGGGGCUCAACCCCGGAACUGCCUUUGAUACUGGCAAUCUCGAGUCCGGAAGAGGUGAGUGGAACUCCUAGUGUAGAGGUGGAAUUCGUAGAUAUUAGGAAGAACACCGGUGGCGAAGGCGGCUCACUGGUCCGGCACUGACGCUGAGGUGCGAAAGCGUGGGGAGCAAACAGG